rnacentral:tmRNA from 2 species
GGGGUUGUUUAGACUCGACAGGGCGUACUUUCAAAAUAUGCAAGCCGAUCUCGAUGGUAUGAUCGUAAAACUCGCCAUCACGAUGAUAAAUGCAAACUUCAUCACAAAGGCAAAGAAUGCAUUCGCGCAAGCAUUUGCUCCUUCUUUCGCUCUUGCUCUCGCCUAAUUUUUAGUGCGUAGCCAUCAGAAUCCCCAUUCUCGAUACGGAAUCUCUGGUGUCAUAUAAUCGAGACGUGACGAAAGUAUUUCUUUUUCUUUACACUUUCCGAUCGUAUUGCAAAAGAAAAAAAUGAAUGAGAAUUUUGUCUGCUUUCUACCUCAUUCAUUUACACAAAGCACUCUAAGCUUGUAGAAUAUUUUGAAGAACCGUUUCUGGACAUGGGUGCAAUUCCCAUCAACUCCACAU